UUUAUGGAGAGUUUGAUCCUGGCUCAGGAUGAACGCUGGCGGCGUGCCUAAUACAUGCAAGUCGAGCGAACGGACGAGAAGCUUGCUUCUCUGAUGUUAGCGGCGGACGGGUGAGUAACACGUGGAUAACCUACCUAUAAGACUGGGAUAACUUCGGGAAACCGGAGCUAAUACCGGAUAAUAUUUUGAACCGCAUGGUUCAAAAGUGAAAGACGGUCUUGCUGUCACUUAUAGAUGGAUCCGCGCUGCAUUAGCUAGUUGGUAAGGUAACGGCUUACCAAGGCAACGAUGCAUAGCCGACCUGAGAGGGUGAUCGGCCACACUGGAACUGAGACACGGUCCAGACUCCUACGGGAGGCAGCAGUAGGGAAUCUUCCGCAAUGGGCGAAAGCCUGACGGAGCAACGCCGCGUGAGUGAUGAAGGUCUUCGGAUCGUAAAACUCUGUUAUUAGGGAAGAACAUAUGUGUAAGUAACUGUGCACAUCUUGACGGUACCUAAUCAGAAAGCCACGGCUAACUACGUGCCAGCAGCCGCGGUAAUACGUAGGUGGCAAGCGUUAUCCGGAAUUAUUGGGCGUAAAGCGCGCGUAGGCGGUUUUUUAAGUCUGAUGUGAAAGCCCACGGCUCAACCGUGGAGGGUCAUUGGAAACUGGAAAACUUGAGUGCAGAAGAGGAAAGUGGAAUUCCAUGUGUAGCGGUGAAAUGCGCAGAGAUAUGGAGGAACACCAGUGGCGAAGGCGAUUUUCUGGUCUGUAACUGACGCUGAUGUGCGAAAGCGUGGGGAUCAAACAGGAUUAGAUACCCUGGUAGUCCACGCCGUAAACGAUGAGUGCUAAGUGUUAGGGGGUUUCCGCCCCUUAGUGCUGCAGCUAACGCAUUAAGCACUCCGCCUGGGGAGUACGACCGCAAGGUUGAAACUCAAAGGAAUUGACGGGGACCCGCACAAGCGGUGGAGCAUGUGGUUUAAUUCGAAGCAACGCGAAGAACCUUACCAAAUCUUGACAUCCUUUGACAACUCUAGAGAUAGAGCCUUCCCCUUCGGGGGACAAAGUGACAGGUGGUGCAUGGUUGUCGUCAGCUCGUGUCGUGAGAUGUUGGGUUAAGUCCCGCAACGAGCGCAACCCUUAAGCUUAGUUGCCAUCAUUAAGUUGGGCACUCUAAGUUGACUGCCGGUGACAAACCGGAGGAAGGUGGGGAUGACGUCAAAUCAUCAUGCCCCUUAUGAUUUGGGCUACACACGUGCUACAAUGGACAAUACAAAGGGCAGCGAAACCGCGAGGUCAAGCAAAUCCCAUAAAGUUGUUCUCAGUUCGGAUUGUAGUCUGCAACUCGACUACAUGAAGCUGGAAUCGCUAGUAAUCGUAGAUCAGCAUGCUACGGUGAAUACGUUCCCGGGUCUUGUACACACCGCCCGUCACACCACGAGAGUUUGUAACACCCGAAGCCGGUGGAGUAACCUUUUAGGAGCUAGCCGUCGAAGGUGGGACAAAUGAUUGGGGUGAAGUCGUAACAAGGUAGCCGUAUCGGAAGGUGCGGCUGGAUCACCUCCUUU
rnacentral:rRNA from 1 species